AUGCCACCGGAUAGAGACAUUGAGUUUUUGAUUGAGUUAUUUCCAGGUACAGGCCCAAUAUCAAAGCGACCGUACCGGAUGCCAGCAAAAGAUUUGGUGGAAAUUAAGAAUCAGAUUAAGGAGUUAUUGGAUAAAGGUUACAUUCGCCCAAGUUCUUCGCCUUGGGGAUCACCCGUACUUCUAGUGGAAAAGAAGGAUGGAUCAUUAAGGAUGGUUGUAGAUUAUCGGGGAUUGAAUGAAGUAACCAUCAAGAACAAGUACCCACUGCCAAUGAUUAAUGAUCUGUUUGAUCGUUUGCAAGGAGCUAAAGUGUUUUCCAAGAUCGAUUUGCGAUCAGGGUACCAUCAGUUGAAGAUUCGAGAGCAGGACAUACCUAAGACAGCAUUCACCACGAGAUAUGGACUGUAUGAGUAUACCGUUAUGUCAUUUGGAUUGACUAACGCACCCGCCUAUUUUAUGAACCUGAUGAACAAAGUGUUUAUGGAGUUUUUGGAUAAGUUCGUCGUAGUGUUCAUUGAUGACAUCUUAGUUUAUUCGAAGAAUGAAGAGGAGCAUAAGGAACAUUUGCGUUUGGUUUUGGAGAAACUAAGGGAACAUCAGUUAUACGCCAAAUUUAGCAAAUGUGAGUUUUGGUUGAAGGAAGUUGGAUUCCUUGGACACGUUAUAUCCGGAGAAGGUAUAGCAGUUGACCCCACAAAGGUUGAGACCGUAACCGAAUGGAAAUCACCAACGACAGUUGGAGAGAUCCGGAGUUUUCUUGGACUCGCAGGAUACUACCGGAGAUUUAUUGAGAAUUUCUCAAAGAUUGCGAAGCCUAUGACGGAGUUGUUGAAGAAAGAUACUAAGUUCAAAUGGACUGAGGAGUGUGAGGCUAGUUUCCAAGAGUUGAAGAAACGCUUGGUUACCUCACCAGUAUUGAUUUUGCCAGAUCAGACCAAGGAUUAUGAGGUGUAUUGCGACGCUUCACGUCGAGGACUUGGAGCAGUGCUUAUGCAGGAAGGAAGAGUUGUUUCGUACGCUUCACGACAACUG
rnacentral:rRNA from 1 species